UAGAGUCUUGUAGAAGGGGGUGGAUUUCAGGUGUAGGCGGUGAAAUGGGUAGAGAUCUGGAGGAAUACGGGUGGGGAAGGGCGGCCCCCUGACAAAGACUGACGCUCAGGUGCGAAAGCGUGGGGAGCAAAACAGGAUUAGAUACCCUGGUAGUCCACGCCGUAAACGAUGUCGACUUGGAGGUUGUGCCCUUGAGGCGUGGCUUCCGGAGCUAACGCGUUAAGUCGACCGCCUGGGGAGUACGGCCGCAAGGUUAAAACUCAAAUGAAUUGACGGGGGCCCGCACAAGCGGUGGAGCAUGUGGUUUAAUUCGAUGCAACGCGAAGAACCUUACCUGGCCUUGACAUCCACGGAAUUCGGCAGAGAUGCCUUAGUGCCUUCGGGAACCGUGAGACAGGUGCUGCAUGGCUGUCGUCAGCUCGUGUUGUGAAAUGUUGGGUUAAGUCCCGCAACGAGCGCAACCCUUAUCCUUUGUUGCCAGCGCGUGAUGGCGGGAACUCAAAGGAGACUGCCGGUGACAAACCGGAGGAAGGUGGGGAUGACGUCAAGUCAUCAUGGCCCUUACGGCCAGGGCUACACACGUGCUACAAUGGCGCAUACAAAGAGAAGCGACCUCGCGAGAGCAAGCGGACCUCAUAAAGUGCGUCGUAGUCCGGAUCGGAGUCUGCAACUCGACUCCGUGAAGUCGGAAUCGCUAGUAAUCGUAGAUCAGAACGCUACGGUGAAUACGUUCCCGGGCCUUGUACACACCGCCCGUCACACCAUGGGAGUGGGUUGCAAAAGAAGUAGGUAGCUUAACCUCCGGGAGGGCGCUUACCACUUUGUGAUUCAUGACUGGGGUGAAGUCCUAACAAGGUAACC
rnacentral:rRNA from 1 species